rnacentral:lncRNA from 1 species
GGGCCCCCCUCACCAAGGAUUCAGGUAGGCAGCACGGCCUGGCUCAGGCCCCCAGGGCCCCCCCCUCAGCAAGGACUCAGGUAGGCAGCAUGGCCUGGCUCGGGCCCCCAGGGCCUCCCUCACCAAGGACUCAGGUAGGCAGCAUGGCCUGGCUCAGGCCCCCAGGGCCCCCCUCACCAAGGGCUCAGGUAGGCAGCAUGGCCGGGCUCGGGCACAGGGGAGCUUUAAAUGCCCCCUCAGACCACCACGUCAGAAUCUCCAGGUGGGGCCUGGGUGAGUCCCACGGGCGCCAGGGGUGCACCUGCCAGCCCUGGGGCAGGGCCAGCCAAGGUGCGAGUGUAGCGGUGGCCGCUGCGCAGUCUGCCCCAGCUGAGGGCUGAUUUAAUUAGAAAGCACCCAUUUCUGUUAAUUUGUUCUGGAAGAUCACCACGCACUCCUGGAGAGAACAGAUGUUCCCUCUCCCCCGAUGAGCAUUUGGGGCUUGGUAAAUGGCUCCACUCAGCCUUGUUUAGGAGAGAAAAGAGGAUUUUAUGGCUGCAAACGACCCUUUCUGUAAACAUUUUACAGCUCUCCGCGCGUUUGAGUGACGAUAAACCCCACGCAGCUCGGCGGGCUGCAAAUUUGCGACCAUACGGCUAUCAUUUUAUUGUCAUAUUUCACGGUCGUAACGUUAAUGGAAGAUGCUUGCUGCAGCCUUCUGCAACAGCUCCGCUGAGCACACUCAAAUGCCUGCCUCGGAGGGGCCGCCUCCUGUUCACAGCCUCCACGUCAGGGGCGUGGAGCCGUGGCCAGACCCUCCGCCCCACGAGACCUGGGCACCCGCUCCCUCCAUCUGGGUGGGCCUCUCUGGGGUCGGGGAGCAGAUGGGGCCCCGAGGCAGCGACUUGUAUUUUUUUUUUUUUUUAAGAUCAGGAACCUAGCAGCCAGUUCCAGAGCCAGUGGAGGUGGGCAGGGUGCUGAGGGGUCCUGUGUGCACCUUGGGCGGGGCCUGGGAAAGGCUGCAGAAACCUCCCCUGCUUGGCCAUGGCCAGGAGCUCGGGCAGGUGGAGGUGCCUGGGACAGUCUCUGGGCAGGAAGCUGGAGCUGCUGCUGGAGCGGCCACCGCAGGGGCAGGCUGACGGGUCAGAGCCUGUGUAGUCUGUAGCCUGGGCCCUGGCUGCUGGGCCCGACUCAGCUGUGCAUGGGUGAGCGGGCUCAUCGGCCCUGAAGAGGGGCACCUGGGCAGGCCCAGUCCUGUGGGCAGCUACACGGAGACAUCUCUAUUCAGCGGGCCACUGUGGUGCCUGUCGGGUGGUCUGGAGGGGAGAUCUGGGGAGGGAGGAGAGGCGCUGGCACCCAGUGAGUGAACAUUCAUGGGGCAGGAGCCCCUGGGCUUCCCCGCUGUGGGGAACUGCUCCCUCCACACUGCCUGCCUCCAGGCCCUGCCCGCCUCACCCUGGGGCCUCUGCUCUGCUCCUGCCCCUCCCCGCCACAGCUUGUGUGCACCCCGGCUUUCCACAUGGAAGCUGCAUCGUGGCCGCCUCGUGUGUCUGGCAGCCUCACUGAACGUGCAGGGCAGUCUGGUGCUGUGUGCACCAGUACUGAUGGCCCACCCUGCAGACCUUGUGGCCGGGACUGCCGCCCGCCCAGGAGGACCCCUGGACUGUAGGCAGAAGCCUCAGUUGACCUCAUAGACUGAGCCUGCACCAUGGCUAGACAGCCACAGAGGCUCACCAGGACCUGUUGGCAGCAGGGGGCAGAAGCUGAAGCCUGUGGCCUGUCUGUGCUCUUCUCCCUCGAACUCAGGAGGGUAUCUCUGCAGACCUUGCUGUGUGUGCUUGGGCUGACAGAGCCCCCCGAUCCUGAGCCCGAUCAGGAGCUUUGCAGGCUGGGGAGGUUCUUCCAGGGGUUUCCGGGCACCUAACUUUUGCCCUCUUUGCAUAGGGAAGCCUCUGCACAUCAAACCACGUCUGUGAGGACCCCAGGGACCGGCCUGCACCUACCUCAGACCCUCAUCCUUGGAGAGGAAAGAG